rnacentral:lncRNA from 1 species
UACUACUUAUAAAAGAACUUCUGAAACUUUUUUACAUAUAAGAACAUAUUAUUGAAAAAACAAAAAGAAAAAAAAAAAAAAAACCAACAAAAACCCCCCACCCUGUUACCCUUUCACUGAAUAUGCAUUUCCUAUAACUGUCAUCACAAUUUAUAAAAAAUAGGUUUUGCUACAUAGAAAGUAGUUGAGUUUUCUUGUUUAAAACCAAAAGCUAAGAACUGAACUUUUCCUUUAAAAAAAACCCUUUUUUCCACUCUGGAUAUUGCUGACAUAUCCUCAGAGCAGAUGACACACAUGAAAAUAAAUCAGCAACAUAUAUUCAGCUGGAAGGAAUAGUUUCAAGGGGGAGAAAUUCUGCUGAGGUCCGAGAUGAAUUCUUUAUGGAAAUAAUGAACCUUGAUAGGUUUAUGAAGAUUUAUCCCAUCUUGCUCUCUACAAAUAGAAGUGAUAUUAUCUUCCAUCUCUGUAAUCCUGAUAUGAAAACAAACAAGCACACAUAGCCUGUGAACUCUGAAUGGAGAAAGACAUCUGGAGAAGAAUCAUGGAGAACAACUUGCUGGGAUGUUAUCAGAUGGCCUUUGUUCCUUUGAAAAAAAGAUGAAAUGCAAGUUAUAAGUUGUUUAAAUGGAACAUCAGGAAUUUACUGCCACUGAGGAUGUAGACCUAUAACUUCUAAAAGAGUAUUAUUAAGACAUCUGCUAGAUGCAUAAUGUAGAAACUAUAGUAAAUCUGCAAUAUUUCAGAAGACAGAUAGUGAAGACAUAUAAAAAAAGUUGAUUAUCUCAUUUGACAAGUCAUCAAGAGAUAUCCAUAUUGUGUAAGA